AGAGUUUGAUCAUGGCUCAGGACGAACGCUGGCGGCGUGCUUAACACAUGCAAGUCGAACGGUAAGGCCCUUCGGGGUACACGAGUGGCGAACGGGUGAGUAACACGUGGGUAAUCUGCCCUGCACAUCGGGAUAAGCCUGGGAAACUGGGUCUAAUACCGAAUAGGACCACAGGACACAUGUCCUGUGGUGGAAAGCUUUUGCGGUGUGGGAUGGGCCCGCGGCCUAUCAGCUUGUUGGUGGGGUGAUGGCCUACCAAGGCGACGACGGGUAGCCGGCCUGAGAGGGUGUCCGGCCACACUGGGACUGAGAUACGGCCCAGACUCCUACGGGAGGCAGCAGUGGGGAAUAUUGCACAAUGGGCGAAAGCCUGAUGCAGCGACGCCGCGUGGGGGAUGACGGCCUUCGGGUUGUAAACCUCUUUCACCAUCGACGAAGGUCCGGGUUUUCUCGGGCUGACGGUAGGUGGAGAAGAAGCACCGGCCAACUACGUGCCAGCAGCCGCGGUAAUACGUAGGGUGCGAGCGUUGUCCGGAAUUACUGGGCGUAAAGAGCUCGUAGGUGGUUUGUCGCGUUGUUCGUGAAAUCCCACGGCUUAACUGUGAGCGUGCGGGCGAUACGGGCAGACUUGAGUACUGCAGGGGAGACUGGAAUUCCUGGCGUAGCGGUGGAAUGCGCAGAUAUCAGGAGGAACACCGGUGGCGAAGGCGGGUCUCUGGGCAGUAACUGACGCUGAGGAGCGAAAGCGUGGGGAGCGAACAGGAUUAGAUACCCUGGUAGUCCAA
rnacentral:rRNA from 1 species